rnacentral:rRNA from 1 species
GACAGAGGGUGCAAACGUUGCUCGGGAAUCACUGGGCGUAAAGGGCGUGUAGGCGGAUCGGCAAGUCGGGGCGUGAAAUCCCUGGGCUCAACCCAGGAACUGCACUCGAAACUGCCUUUCUUGAGUGCCGGAGAGGAAAGCGGAAUACCUGGUGUAGAGGUGAAAUCGUAGAUAUCAGGUGGAACACCAGUGGCGAAGGCGGCU